rnacentral:rRNA from 1 species
AUGUUGGAAAACACCAAGAAGGGCACGGUGCCAAUGCGCGUCCUCAGUUUGUGUGAGGUGGAUUAUGACACCAUGGUGAGCGUCAUCAACAUAUGUGAUGCCAUUAUCAGGGAUUACCAACGUGACGAGGGCAGGCAAUGGUCCAAAGAGCUAGUCCGUUGGAUGGAUAUGGCACGUGAUCAUGUCAAUGAGUGCAUCUCUGAGCUUGUUGACAUGCCUGCAGUGGGGGCUCUUGUCAAUGAAAACAAUGAAUUGGGAAUGCUGGUUAAACUGAACACCGCCUUGGUAGCAGCCCGUAUGUUUCCCGAGUAA